AAACUGCCGACAUUUCCCGAGCGCCGUCGUUAAAAGUCCACAGCGACUGCGUCACCGCGGUCAUCAACGGGGACGAUUCUUGGGUGUCUAUUACGAAAUUAAACCGCAUAGUCCUCCGAACAGCUGGACACCAGCGCCCCGGGUCGGCAGGGGACACGUUGGACCACCAAGAGCCGGAGGGACGAGUAUGGAGCGGACUAUGAAUCUUUUGUUUACUGUCGCUUCCGUGUGGAGGCUAACUAACUAGCUCAGUAGCUAGCGAACACUCGUCAGUUGGGAGCGAGCCUUUGAAAUCCUUCUUUGGCUUCUUAAUGACCUUUAUUGCUUCGUGCAGUGCACUGCGAGGCGACGUGUUAUGAAAGGGAGGCGUCGACUCACCUGAAAGAGCGCUUCCCGCCGGACCUUCGCGCUCUCUUUAUCUGCUAAUAUUCCCUCGGAUGGAAUUCCAGGCAGCAGAGCCACAUCACCACACGCUCCCGGAAACUAAGCUGAUUGGACGAGAACGGCAAGGGACUGUCUGCAACCUCCCACACUUUGACUUCGCUCCACGUGGAGAAUAAUUCAAGGAUGUCGAUGCACGACCUGAGACUCGACUUGAUUGUCAACCAUUGCAGGCAGCUGGGGAGGAGCCUGGCAAUGCUCUUCCGUUACGUCACGGUCUGUGUGGCCUUCAUGGGUGACAUGGCGCAGUGCUUGACGACCGCGGUCAAGUGGGUGACCCUGCUGUCGCGCUGCACGGUGUCCACCUUUGACGCCCUCCACAGGCACCUGCGCCGCUUCGUGAGGACGGGCGUGGGCCGACAUCCGCCGUGAUGACUCCGGACUGAAUCUUUGAAAUGCUGGUUUUGGAGGUUUGGGGUAAGCCAGCGAGGCCUGACUUUAUUUCGUGUUGAAAUGUACCCUUUGAACUUUUGUUACGUUGUUGCGAAAACAACAGCAUUUGUUUGUUUUACUUCUUACUCAGCAGCCAAUCAGAUUGUGCUGACGUCACUUCCUGUAUAACUGCUAUAAUAUACUGUGAUGUACUAACCAGCAUUGUUUUCGAAACAUUUAAGUUAAAGUACCAAUGAUUGUCACACACACUCACACUAAGUGUGGUGAAAUUUAUCCUCCGCAUUUGACCCAUCCCCUUCAUCACCCCCUGGGAGGUGAGGGGAGCAGUGGGCAGAAGCGGUGUCGCGCCCGGGAAUCAUUUAUGGUGAUUUAACCCCCAAUUCCAACCCUUGAUGCUGAGUACCAAGCAGGGAGGCAACAGGUCCCAUUUUUUUUUUCCAUAGUCUUUGGUAUGACUCGGCCGGGGUUUGAACUCCCAUCGAUCUCAGGGCGGACACUCUAACCACUAGGCCACUGAGUAGUUUUUUUUAUGUGUAAUCCAUCCAUAUUCUACCACUUGUCCCGUUCGGGGUCACUGCAGCCUUUUUAGCUACAAACGGGCGGAUGGCGUGGUACACCAUGGACAAGUCGCCACCUCAUCGUAGGGCCAACACAUUCAGACAUCCAUCUUCUUCCGCUUAUCCGAGGUCAGGUCACGGGGGCAGCAGCCUAAGCAGGGAAGCCCAGACUUUCCUCUCCCCAGCCACUUCGUCCAGAUCUUCCCGGGGGAUCCCGAGGCGUUCCCAGGCCAGCUGGGAGACGUAGUCUUCCCAACGUGUCCUGGGUCUUCCCCGUGGCCUCCUACCGGUUGGACGUGCCCUAAACACCUCCCUAGGGAGGCGUUCAUUCAUAUAGACACAACUGUGUAAUUUCUAAUCAAAUUGCAAUUUAAAGGUUUGGAUUUUAAGUCUCAUAUAUAUGUGUAAGUGUAUGUAUAUUGUGUAUAUAAAUAUAUAUGUAUUUUUUUUCUUCAUAAUAUAUUGGCAUUCAAAUAUUGUACUUUGAACAUUUGCCAUUUUAUACUCUUAACACAGGGGGGUCCAAAAGUUUUACAAUGAGGGCCACACACUGACAAAUGAAGGGAUGCGUGGGUCAUUUUGAAAGUUUUCAGCUUCAAAACCAGUACAAUAUCUUUUUUUUUUUUUUUAAGGACUAAAAAAAUGGUAAUUUUGCUAGAAAUUUUGUGAGACCGCUAAAUAGCCAAAGCCGAACUGAAAUGCUAACAGUUAGCUCACCGGGCAGAUAGUGUGAAGUAAGAAAAAAAUAUAUAAGCAAAAUGACCUAAAAAGGCUAUCAUGCUAAAAGUACUAUGCUAACAUGCUAAUAGUACUAUGUUUACAGUUAGCAUUAUUGAAAAGUCUAAAUAUUUGACACUGCUAAAUUAGCUAUAAAGAUUGAUUGAUCUAACAUGCUAUUGUUAGCAUGCUAAAAUGCUGACUGCUUCAAGUACAAAAAUAUUACUCUUGAGAUUACAGUUAGCAUUAUUGAAAAGUCAAAAUAUUUGACACUGCUAAAUUAGCUAUAAAUAAAGAUUGAUUGAUUGAUUGAUCUAACAUGCUAUUGUUAGCAUGCUAAAAUGCUGACUGCUUCAAGUACAAAAAUAUUACUCUUGAGAUGUGUACCUAAAACAGAUUUAAAAUGUUAGCCUGCUAGCAUUAGCAUGCAUCAAAGACCAAAGUAUGACUGAGGUGUAUACCUACAAAAUAAAAAAAAAGCCUGCAUACUAAAAUUAGCAUUCGAACAGGUAGGUGUCCUUCGACAAGUAAAACAUUGAAUGCUGAGAUGUACACCUGCAAAAUUUGCGCACACAAAAAAAAUAUGCUAAUAGAAUGCUGACGAUUGUUUUGUGGGCCAUUAAAUAUGUAGCUACGGGCCGCAAAUGGCACCCCGACUGCACUUUGGACACCCCUGCUCACCUAAUGAGUGUUUUGAAGCAAGAGCUGUGUCUCGGCUAAUUGUUACAUGCAAACAUUUGAGUUACAAGCAUCCCUGCCAUUAGCUUAUAGCUAAAAACAAGCAUGCCUCUGUUUUUCCAAGUAAUGGAAGGAAGGAAGUGGGUGUGAAGGACAGUGCUGAGAAGAAGAGGUGGAUGAUAUUUAUUGAAUUAAAGAAAUAAAUCAUCCAAAACCGGUUGUGUCGCCAACUUGGCGAAGCAAUUCGAGCAUAGCGCUGCCAGUCGGCACCAUACAGGAGUAGUCUUACCCCCUGCCAAGGAUGUUAAAAUAAUAUCUAAAGCAGUGGUUCCUAACUUUGUUGGAGAUACCGAACCCCACCAGUUUUAUAUGUGCAUUCACCAAACCCUUCUUUAGUGAAAAAUAUAUAUAUUUUUUUCUAAUUCAAGUCAAAGUUGUUUUUUUUUUCACCGGUGCACAAAAUGAGCCAUGCGCAAACAUCACCUUGUUCAAAGAACCAAACCAACACAGUGCAUAAACUCACAACAAAUGACACACCUGCAAAUCAGUGUGACUUCUGCUGUGGCCGUAUCCAUAAUACGCCGAUAUGGAGAAGUUUUUAUUUGCACGAUAAGUCGGGUGUGUCUCAACCUCCGCGGCGGAGGGUCCGUCGAACCCCUGAGGCCGACUCACCGGAACCCCGAGGGUUCGAUCGAACCCAGGUUAAGAACCACUGAUCUGAAGGCUGGCCAUUUAUCCAUAAAAAUGUGGAGAAGCUGCUGACGGUGUAUUUGACAGAAGCGCAGUUUGAAGGAGAUAGCUAGAAGUCCACUCUCCAAGGUGAAUAGUGUUCAUUAGUGUUAUAUUACUUCUUACUACUGUAGUUGUUAGUAAUACAUGACAUUGUAUUUUUUUUUUUACACAAUAUUUCAUACAUAAGUCUGUUUUUAUUUUCACCGUGAUUGUUUGCGUGUCUUUUUUUUUGUUCAAUCCUGUUUUGCGAUGACAAAAACUGCACUGUUUUUUCUUUUGAACAUACCUUGCAUGCAUGACUGACUUGUAUAUUGCACUUGAUCCGCACCAGCCGCCCGUGUAUUAUUGACUUGAUUUCACUAUGUGGUUUCUAAAUAAAGCGCAUGCCGAAUAA